UGGCGGACGGGUGAGUAACGCGUGGAAAACCUGCCGUAUACUGGGGGAUAACACUUAGAAAUAGGUGCUAAUACCGCAUAAGCGCACAGCUUCGCAUGAAGCGGUGUGAAAAACUCUGGUGGUAUACGAUGGUUCCGCGUCUGAUUAGCUAGUUGGUGGGGUAAUGGCCUACCAAGGCAACGAUCAGUAGCCGGCCUGAGAGGGUGAACGGCCACAUUGGGACCGAGACACGGCCCAAACUCCUACGGGAGGCAGCAG
rnacentral:rRNA from 1 species